UUGCUGCAGAGGAGGGGAGGGAAAGCUCAUCACUCAUAUUUUGGUUUGCUUUAACCAUGGGAGGUGUCUGUGAUCUGGAUCUCCCUCCCUCCCUAUAUGUAGGGAUGGUGGACUGCUGAAGAACAGGCAGAGAUGCGGAGCAGAAAGUGCAUGGAAAGGACACUGUCCAGAGAAGGCAGUGCCUGCUGGAUGCCCACAGAGCCCUGACCCUUGUGAUCACUCCUGCCAUACAGCGUGUUGGGUUCUUCCAUCCUUGAAGCUCUUUCCAGAUGGGAGAGGGAGAAAGAAAGCUGCCAUGGCCAUCAGCGUGUCAUUGGAGUUAACACAGGAGUUGUCAAAUGCUUCCUGUUUGCUGCCGAAGAGCUCUGUAUUAGCACAAGGCUGCAAAACUGUAACAUCUAUUACCAAGCAGUGCUUACACAGAGUCAAGGCCUUUUCUGCUCCUCAUCUCACCGGUGAGGAGGCUGGGGAUGGACAAGAGGCUGGGAGGGAAAACAGCCAGGACAGCUGAUCUCAACUGAUCCUAGGGAUAUUCCUUACCCUAUGAUGUCAUGCUCAGCAUAUAAAGCUGGAGAAAGAAGGAAGAAGGGGAUGUUUGUAAUGUGAUGGUGUUUGUCUUUCCCACUAGCUAUUACUUGCUCUCAUGAAUAUAGAUUACAGGGAUUGUGCUAACAUGUUUUUUUCCCCUUGCAUUCAGAAAUCCAGUCAGUGUUCUAUGUAAUUCUCUAAUAGCAUAUAUGGGUCAGACUGCAUUCUGAGUUUGCAUGAUGAGCUCUGGCUGAAGUCUCUAGGGACAAAUAACCCAAAUACAGGCCUGUAUUCCUCUAGUAACUCUGUAAUACACUGCUCAUUAUGUGAGUAUGUGAGCACCUACACUUUCAUGUUAAAUGUUAUGCAAAAUAUAAUUUAGAUGUUCUGCUGGUUGCUGUCUCAGGGAAUAUUUCCUUUCUAGGUGAAUAAAUUCUUUUGUCUCUAGCUUGAA